rnacentral:lncRNA from 1 species
GAUUAAUUAUUGAAUAAUUUAGUUGUCCAUUUUGGCCCUAAAUUAUUGACUCAAUAUCCUGAUCAAAUUCGGUCAAUAUUAUAUUUAAUGUUGUAUUAAUGUCUGCGAAAUGUCUAUCGUUUGUAUAUGCUAUUAUUAACAUCACAUAUUAACUGAUCUAACGUUGUUUUUAAUUUAAUAGUAUUUUCAUUUAUUGCUAUAGUUACGUUGUUAAAAAAGACUGAAAUAUUCGUCUAUGCUUGUUUGAAUGUUAAUUAAACCUAAUGUAAUUUUAUUUUGUGCUGUGUGAGCUUUUAUUUUUUCGUUAAUUUUGGUUUAAUCGUCUUCGUUCAAUUACCCAAAGGCCCACUUUUCAAAAGCACCUAUUUUAUUUAUUAAGCCUCUUUUGGCUGUUCUAUGUGUUUUAAAAGUAUUAUAAGUGUUAAAUAUUUUAUUUAGUUGUGCAACUGUAUUAUUUAUCAGACCCUAAACUGUUGACAAGUUUCCGAGAAAUUUCCUAUAGAUUUGGCUUUACGAAAUGUCAUUGUUUUAUUAUUUAUUUCGAUUAAAUCGUUAUAUUUAAUUUCAUAGUUUGUGAAUCAUUAGUUGGCUUAAAAGGUUAUUAACUUAAAAAAGUAUCUGUUGUUAACUUAAUUUUUGAAAUGUACUCGUAGUAAAUUCAUGAACUUUUUAUUUUGUGGUCCGUGUAUUUAUUAUUCCUUAUUUCUGCGAUGACAACUAUUAAGGAAGUAAAAAACAUUCUCAUAAAGUUGGAAAGUUUAUUCUAGACAGUUCUGAUACUGCUGGUACUACUGCUGCUGCUUUGAUUUACUGUCCGGACAGUAGUUUUUGAUAACGCGAUGGAUUAUACCUAUAAUAGUAAUUAUAAAUUGUACCGAGUUAAAAUUUUAAAUACCAUGGUAUAUCUAUAUUUAAAAUAAGUAAAAAAUAUACAAAAUAAUAAAUUGAACAUUAUUACAUCACCAUAACUAACCAAAUUUUUAAAAGACUGAGCAACAAAAACGUACCCAAUUCAAUUCUAUUAUUGAAUAGUAUACAUCUUGUGAAUUUGUCCCUUCCUCACUAUACGAGCUAUGACUUGGCAUAUUUUUUAUGACUUAUGCCUUUGGCAUUCUGACUUAUGACUUUUCUGAUAUAACAUAUAUAAGUAUUAUAUAACAUUAUAUUAUCACAUGUCUUUUGUAUAAGAACGAGGAUAUUGUGUAUAUCAUAUUUCAUUAUUAUUGAUUUUAUUUAAUGUUUAAAAUAAAAAUAAAAAAUAUGACUUAUUGACUAAUGUCAAACAUAUUAUAUUAUGUCUGGCAAAAAAAAGGCUUACAUGUAAAUCACAAUAGUACAAUUUUAUACUUACAACAUUGUAUUCAAUGUAGCUUGACAUUUUUCACAGAAUUGAUGUACUUAUCUAUAGAUAUACCAAAAAACCUAAACUUGACUUAUUGAGCUUUUCGUAUAAACCGUCCAAUAUUAGAACACAAGAUAUUACUAAACGUGUAUUGUUAUACUAACCAGUCAAUAUUUUGUGUAACACUAUGACGUAUAAUAUGUAUUUAGUGCAUUGUGCUCGAUCGCCAAUGUAAAACACGAAUUAUUUUUUAAUACAUAACCAAUGAAACCGUGGUACUCGUCGUGUGCAUUUGUAGCCCGUACAUAACAAUAGGAAGCCUGAAAGAACAAGUAAUUUACCCAGAUACUCUUCCGAACAUGCUGACUAAAAGCAUUACCGAACUUGGAGGCGUGCCUGGCCCAAGUCCACCUGUCGCCUUUGGUUUAGAGGAGGACGCGGUUGGGACGCGACUGCCGAUUAGAAAGAUGUUCUGUCCGGUGGCGAAAAACAAAGGAUAGUCUUUGCCAGAAUCUUUUACCACAAGCCAUCAUUUGCCCUUCUGAAUGAGUGCACCAGUGCCGCAAACAUAGACGUAGAAAGUGUCAUAUACCUGCAGUCAGCCAAGGACUCCGGCAUCACCACACUGCUCACCAUCGCCCACAAGCCGUCUCUAGUUUAUCAUGCUAUUAAUUUAUGUUUAAUAUAAGAAACUCCAUUCGCACAUAUUGCACUUUGGCGGUGAAAGCAGAUGGAAACUUUCAACGCUAAGACAAAAGAUAAUAUCUUUCUUACUCUGGAUGCCAGUAAACACUGUAUUGAUUAUUCCUUGUUGUUGUUUUUAAUUUCCAGGAAAAAUAUACCAGUAUAUUAGUGAUUGAAAGAUAAAUUAGUCAAUGGAGUUUCUUAAUGUGAAAAUUUUAAACGUUGAAAAAAUAUCUUGUCAACCUUUAAAUUUUAAUGAAAACCAUGUGAUUAUUAAUUUAACGAUUUAUAAGAUUAAUUAUUUUUUAAAUGUAUGUUUAUACCUG